rnacentral:rRNA from 1 species
CUCUUGNNNNNNCNGAAUUCGGCAGAGAUGCCUUAGUGCCUUCGGGAACUGUGAGACAGGUGCUGCAUGGCUGUCGUCAGCUCGUGUUGUGAAAUGUUGGGUUAAGUCCCGCAACGAGCGCAACCCUUAUCCUUUGUUGCCAGCACGUAAUGGUGGGAACUCAAAGGAGACUGCCGGUGAUAAACCGGAGGAAGGUGGGGAUGACGUCAAGUCAUCAUGGCCCUUACGAGUAGGGCUACACACGUGCUACAAUGGCGUAUACAAAGAGAAGCGAACUCGCGAGAGCCAGCGGACCUCAUAAAGUACGUCGUAGUCCGGAUCGGAGUCUGCAACUCGACUCCGUGAAGUCGGAAUCGCUAGUAAUCNNAGAUCAGAAUGNUNCNGNGAAUACGUUNCCGGG